rnacentral:rRNA from 1 species
GUAAAGCGUGCGUAGGUGGUUCGUUAAGUCUGAUGUGAAAGCCCUGGGCUCAACCUGGGAAUUGCAUUGGAUACUGGCGGGCUAGAGUGCGGUAGAGGGUGGCGGAAUUCCCGGUGUAGCAGUGAAAUGCGUAGAGAUCGGGAGGAACAUCCGUGGCGAAGGCGGCCACCUGGACCAUCACUGACACUGAGGCACGAAAGCGUGGGGAGCAAACAGGAUUAGAUACCCUGGUAGUCCACGCCCUAAACGAUGCGAACUGGAUGUUGGGUGCAACUAGGCACUCAGUAUCGAAGCUAACGCGUUAAGUUCGCCGCCUGGGGAGUACGGUCGCAAGACUGAAACUCAAAGGAAUUGACGGGGGCCCGCACAAGCGGUGGAGUAUGUGGUUUAAUUCGAUGCAACGCGCAAAACUUUCCAAA